AGAGAGAAGAAGAAGAACAGAUGGUGUGACUGCUGGUUCCUCAGCAAGGGCAGAGAGAAGGGGAAGCUGGCGAUAAGCACAGGAUGCAUACUGUUAUAUCUGUUAACGCUCAAAUCUGUGAAAACAAUAUGGGACCUUCUCUCUAAGAACACACAGCUGCUCUUCCUGAUCUCUCUUCUGUUAUGCAACAAGAUAUUUAGAGCUCACCAACGAACCAUUAGCAAACCAAAUCCACAUACAAUAUAACUAUCUUUUUAAAGAUCUAGUUUACAUUUUCAGGAGCUUUGAUUUAAAUUAAGCUAAUUCUUUUGAAUAUACUACACCAGUGAUUCUUAGACCAACUGGGGGCACAUAGGACUGGUUUGAGGACCACUGUACUAUACCAAUGUAUAGGGAGUAAGAAGCACAUCUCCAGGUGCUCUUUCUGCCAUGCCUCCUCUACAUCCGUCGGGCCUAGAAAUUCCUGCCAGGCCGGAAUGACAUCAUCACAACCUUCGGGCUUAGAAAUGACCAGAACAUGGGAGGGGCCACUGGACAUGAAUUGGACCAGCUCCUGAAAAUAUGGCUAAGAAUAUACAUACACACCCACACACCAACAAACAGAAAAAAGGUUAACACACUCCAUAUCUACGGUAAAGACAACCUGAGGCUCCGUUUCAUGUGAUUCUGCAGAAUAAGCAAAAGCAAGAGGGCAUGCUCAACGUCAGCAGCUCUAUUCUUAGGCUUCUACACAGACUGCAUCCACAAAGAGCAGAAUUCAGAGGCAGUGAAUGAAUUUGGCUGUGCUGCAUUUCAAAGUAUAGCAUUCUUUUGGUGUUACUGCCAAGGCCGCAACACUCCACAAGACUCCAGGCUGCAAGAAAUGUGUGUCAACUUUGGGAACUGUAAUUUAUAAUUCCUAUACCAUCAAAGUACUGAUCCAGAAAAGCCAUAUGUGCUUUACACGGAGUGUGAUAAACAGAUAACUGGCCCCUUGAGCAGUAUAUCUUGAUUAUUUGAUUAAACUGAAAUAUUUAAAAUAAAACAAACAAAAAGCACCUUCUUGAAUGGACAGUGUUGCCGAUCUGAAUAAUGAUAAUGAGAUAAAUGAGAAUUUUCUACUGACCUCUUCUACACCAACAAGAGACCAGUGGACACUACAGGGACAGAGCCCAUCUUUUCCAGAUAUAUGUGCAAGCUAUAGAAACCUAUAGCUUGCACAUAAAAGCUAUAGAUUAAGCUAUAGAUUAAGUCUCCAGUAAUUAAGUAGGCAAAGUUGUAAAGGUAAACACAGUGAUGUUACAGUAAAGUUCUGAGUUAUCAUGAAAUAAAAAUGACUGCCAACUCUGUAAAAGCAACAACAAAAGCAUGCAUAUUUAUGUUAAUUUACAAUAUGUUCAUUUACUUAAUAUAGGUGCUGAAAGGCUAGUCAUGGUUUAUUAGUGUUCCCUUAAAAAACAUUUUUAUUUUUAAAAACUCUGCUCAUUUAAUAAUCUAAAUAUUUUGCAGAUCACUUGCAUAUUAAUAUAAUCAAUAAAGCCCUAGUGCAUGACAUAAGCUAGAUGACAGUACCUCUGCUGCUUUGUGGUGGUAAAACUCCUGAGCUUCUGACUCACUGAGAGUUCGCUCCUCAUGGGCCAGAAUCUCAAAGCCUGCAUCCUGAAUCUGAGAGAGAAAAAAUAACCACUGAGACUACAGCCUAAUUAGGCAGCUAAGCACAUGGAUAUCAGAUCAUAUUUUGAUUAGAUUUUUUUAUAUGGUAAGUGUAGCAUUACAGCACCAAAAAAACUUCUACAGUGCUGUGCUAAAGUCAGAGACCACCCUUCAUUUAUUUAGUGUCCAGUCAAAAUGACCACAAGCUCAUGUUCAGCGUCAACAACAAAAGCAAAAAACUUAUUUAACAGAAGCCUGUUAAAGUUCGGAUGUGGGCUUGUUUACAUAGAAGCCUCAACAACUAAAUAUAAUAUAAAAAUCUUUACUACUUAGUAUGUUCUUCGUCUUUAUUACAGCUUUCAUUCUUUUCAGGAGUCUUGCUUUCAAUGUUUCAAAUAAAUCUGCAGGGAUAUUUUCCACACCUCCCAAGUUAAGUCAGAAGUUGGUUGGAUUAAUUCCAAACACCUUCCAUGUUGUUGAGGUCUGGACUCCUCUGGAGGUCAGGUCAUAGUUAUGAAACAUUAAACAGCCUCUUUGCUUGAUUUUCAUCUUUACUUGUUUACUUCCUUUUUCAAGCAACAGUUUCUUGUUAGCUACACAGCAUUUCAGACCUAUAGUGUUGUCUUCUCAGGAGGGAAAUUUUCAAAUCCAAAGCAAGUGUGGAGCUCGCGUUUCCCUCAUAUCUUGAAUAUGAAAGCUUUAAGUAUUGUUUAUCUGAUGAUGACAGUUUUGGCGGUCGACCACAUCUUGCGCGGUUGUUAGGAGUCCCACUGACUCCAUAACUUGAAAUAGAUUUUUGAACUUCAGUUAUGAAACUCCUGUAAUUUCACUUAUUUCCCUUUGAAUUUCUCAUUGCUUAUGCAAGUGGAUUACCUUAUAUCUAAUCUCUUCAAAAAUACCUUAAAAAAUGAAUAACUUGUGCCUAGCAUUUUCACUGGAGAUUAAAUACAUGAAGGGUGGUCUCUGACUUUUGCACAGUACUGUAUGUGUUGGUGACAAGUAUUUGAACUUGUCUUUUGUAUAUAUUAUAUGUGGGUUUACCUUCAUAAUGAUUUCAUUGGUCUUUCCAUGUGCCACAGCAUCUGGCUUAAUGAUUGCCACUGUGAAAGACCUGUUCACAGGCACUACAGGAGAAAAAGUAAAGUAGUGAUCAUCACUGUAUGUUGGCACUUCACUAUAAGUAAGUGUGAAUUAAAUUAGGUGUGAAUACCAAGAAUGUCCCCAUCAUUUUGAUGGGCCACAGCAUCCUCUUCCUGUUCUUCUUCAACCAGUCCCUCAUCUUUUACCUAUGAGAAUGUAUAGCAAGUGCUCAAUGCAAGAGAUUUCAGAACUGUUUAUUUAAUAAGGAAAGGCCAUGGAAACUCAGACUUUUUGAGGGAGAAUGUAGAAACUUGCCUAGUAAAAUAUUAUGAGGUUGUUUCUCACAUUGGAGUUUAGUCUAGGCUAGCUUUAUGUAUGUCAGUGAAACUGGCCCUACAUUAUGCAACACAUUUUGAAACAACUGUUUUGAGUUUGCAAUUUUUGUGGUCGAAUUUCAGCUCACCAUAAUGCGCUUGACGCCCUGCUCCAGCACCCGUUUCUCUUUGGCCAACUCCUCCACAAUUAUUCUCUGCAGGAGAGGAGCAUUAGCCCCUCGGAGCACAGCCACCAGCUCCCCACCCUGCACGGACAUGAGCAAAACAAACAAAAACAAACAUUACAACACAGAAAAGCAGCUUUCACUCUUCACAUGCAGCACAAUCAUAAUAUACAGUGCCUGGAUUCGUCUGGACUACAAUGACAUACAACCAAUAUGCUUUUAAAGUAAAUAAAAUUCUGCUUUCAUAAGUAUUCAACCUCUUCAGACUGACUGGAACCACCUUUUGCUACAAUAACAGCUGUCAGUCUUCAAGUUGCUAAGGCUUUGCACACUGUUUGAUAGAGAUUUUCAUCCAUACUUCUUGGCAGAUUUGAUGCAGUUUUUUCAGGUUGGCUGGAUGAUGCCUGAGGGCUGCGAUUUUCAAACAGGAUUGAAGUCUGGACUUGGACAUCAUAGGACAGUCACAUUUUUGAUGUUUAACCAUUUCUGUGUUGCUUUGGCCUUGGGCUUCCGGUGCUUGGGAUCACUGUCCUGCUGAAAGGUGAAGUUUUUUUUUUUUGCAGACUGAAAGAGGUUGUCUUUCUGUAUAUCCCUGUAGUUUGCAAUAUACACCCAUUCUUCAGUUUUAACAAGAUGCCCAGUCUCUGCUGAAGCAAAGCACCCCUACAGCAUAUUGUCACCCCCGUACCUCACUGUUGGGAUGGUGGUUAUUCAGGAAGGGGUAGAAACUGUUAGGCUUGUACCAAACAUGUGGUCUCGUCUGAUCACAAAACCUUAUACCAUAUUUUAGUUGGGUCACUUUCUAGCAAUGCUUCCUAGCAAAAUCUACAAGCUUUAAUGUGUUUUUUUUUCAGCAAUUGCUUUUUGGUAGCCACCCUCUCGUACAAGCCAGUUGUACUUAGAGCUGUUUAUAUUGUUGACUGGUGCACCUUCACUCCAGCCUCAGCCACUGAACUCUGCAGCAACUGCAGCUCUCUGAAAGUGAUUGUUGGACUCUCUGUGGCUUUCCUCACAGGUACCCUUCUUGAUCUGUGCACAGGUGGCUGUGCAGGUUCCAUUUCCUUACAAAUGAUCCAACAGAGCUCUCAGGGAUAUCCAGAGACUUGGAUAUUACUUUCUAGCUAUUUCUCAUCUGUGCAUGCAAAUAACAUUAUUUCUAAUUUUCUUAGUGUUCUUUGAUCUUCAUUUUCACAGUUUUCUUUCAGAUUCACAGUCUGACCAAUAGUACUUGAAUUAAUGGGGUCUUUUAGCCAGAAAAGCUGAACUUGUUUCACAGGUAGGGGCCAAUUGUAAGCCAACUGUGUCCUUACUAGGGCAGUGUCUUCUGUGUACACCUGGAAUAGCAUAGGGGAUGAACACUUAUGCAAUUAGUAUUUUCAGUUAGCAGUUUUUGUCAAAGAAUAUGUAAUCGUCCACCAAACCAUACCCUGUUAAAUCCAUUCAUUUUGAGGGUGAGUCCUUUAAAAUAAAAUGCAACACAGCACAAAUAUCAAAGAGUCAUCUGUAAUCCAGACAAAUCUUAUGACUUUUAAAGGGGCUGAAUAUUCUUGCAAGGCGCUAUACUAUAAUCUCAUCAGAUGUUCAGUUUGUUGUAUUGUGAAAUGAUCUUUAAGUUCUUUUGUGAGUUAUAUGUGUCUAAAAUGCACAAAAAGGAAUUCAAAAUGAUCUCUUACAGCAAAGAACAGGAAGGUGGGCUCACACUUUCCUCUGUAUUUCUCCAGUGCAUCAAUAUUGUCAGCCUCUGCCUUUGGAGUUUAAAACAUAAAAAGAAAUAUUACAAAUGGCCAGAAUUCAAAAAGCAGUGCAGAGCAAAAGUACUAAAGGAUCGGUUAUCAUGAAGAUCAGCAUAAUAACAAAAUCAAUGGGCAACUGUCAAAACAACCACACAGUACAGAUGUGGCAGAUAAGGAUCAGUACAUUCAACAACCAUUCUACACGAAAUCUGUUUACUAGCUUACUAUGGCGAAGUGUAACAGGUCGUCCCCUAGCUCGUUUUUGAUUUUUCUGAAUAGGCUGAGGACUGCGCGGCAGGGUCCACACCACUGCUGGUACACAUCCACCACUGCCAAAGACACACAGCACACAGACACUUCACAAGAGACACUUCACAUCUCGACACACAGUGUCCCACGCAGCCUGCAGUUAUUAGCGUGAGCAUCUGCAGGCCUAGCUGAGUAAGAGGUUUCAAAACAAAUGAGUAUAGUCAUAUGUGCAAUUCUUUUAUUCACAUCCGAUGCAAAGCAUUCUUGAAGAUAACACCUUUGAGACACUGCAUUUUUCCAAACAUAACUAGCCCAAAGCCCUGCUGUAAAAAAAACUGAGAACAUAAACAAAACCAUAUGAGCUUAUUAAAGCUUAUUAUCUGUGAUACUGCUGAGUUUUGACUGUGAAUAAAUAAUUACUAGACAGAGUUUAUGUAUUUUAGGAGGAAAACCAAAACCAUAACUCCUUCCUUUAGAAAAUUCAGGCUUAGCUGGUCUAAAAUGUAUGACUGUGACUUUCACAUCUAUCACGUUUAAAGAACACUUCCUCUCCUGUCAUUCUCCAAGCUCCUCUCACCUGUCAAGCCCUUUGAUGCCAGCAUUUCUCCCCAUUGCUCGUCAUUACUGAUGGACACCUGAAAUAUAAAAACAUAAGCUUUCAAGACUGUGAAAAUAAGGUUAACCCAAACAGACUGAGACUAUGCACCAUUAUGAGCUUCUAAUAGCAUGGAAACUAUUGACUGCGGAAGCACAAAUACAGGGACUGUGGACUGAUGCCAGUGUCCAAUAUUUUGUGAGUUUAGACCACGUCUGUAUCAAAUCAUUGUGAAGAAGUAUGAGAAGGACUGGAGUUCUGCCCGGCUUCUGCUUUAAACUUGUAACUUGACCAGAGUGUCCAAACUUUUGCAUAUGACUAUCUCUACCAAAUCUGAUAUAUACGCAGAGCUCAGCAAUAUGACCGUAUUUAUUGUUAUUGCAAUAAAUUACAUGACAAUAUAACACAGUACACUUUUCUUAGUAUAUUGUGGAUGUUGUCAGUACCUGAAAAACACUUCUCUACCACCAGCAUAGCAUAGUAUGUGAAUGUUGAAUACAAAUCAUUGGAUUUAUUUGUGUUUGAUAGUAUUUUCUAAAUGUGGCUCUGCUUUGUUUGUUCCAACUUAUGUCUGAAAAAAUACUAAAGUAUUGUGAUAUUACAAUUUUGCUGUUUCACCUGCCUCUAUAUGUACAUUUAUUGUCUACUAUAUGAUAUAUCCACAUUUAUCAUUUACUAUACAAUAUAUACAUCAUCAUUUACUAUGAUGGAGAAAUGUAACAUUUAUUUCUGUACAGUUACACAUACAAGAAAACAUAUACAGGAAAAUAUAAUAUAGUAUAAUAUAAAAGUGCUUCUCCUUAACAUAAAUACAUCUGUUUGCUGCCAAUGUUUCUAGGCAAUUUUUAUCAUUCUGGUAUCAUAAAGCAUCUUUACUACUGACUUUUUGCUCAGGAUUUUCAGUUAUAUACAUGAUUGUAAAGUAAUGUAACAUUACCUUACAUUUACCAACUUAAAUGUAAUGCUAUAUUAAGUAGGUCCUCGUUGUUUUAUGUAAUAAAUGCCUUUUCUCUAAAAUGGAUUCUUAUACUAUACACGUCCCCAAAAUGACAUGUGGGACAUUUUUUUUAAAGGUGAAAAGAAGUCCUGCCUGUGAAAUGCCCCGAGAUAAUUAUCAUGAGAUAACAAUGUCAAGAUAAUAAAUUUGAGAAAAAAAAAACUACUACACAAAAAUCCAUGUCAUUUUCCUCCAUGUCCUUUUGGGGUCUCCAUAAACUACAGUGGAGUCCUGGAGUGUCCCUUUGGUCUCAGAGAGAGAUGCUUGGGAUCCUUUCACUGGAGGACAUGGGUUUGGUGCAGAUGCUCAUUCAGAGAAACAGCCUACAGGUUUAACUCAAUGGACCACUUCGUUCUCCACUGUCCCACAACAAUAACGAGAGAAAUAAAGAAAUAAACCAGACCUGGCGCCACACGGUAAGCUAGCUAGCUUAGUUAACCACUUUUAAACUCAAACUCCCUUGUGUAUUGUGUCUAAACAGGGUGUAUUGACAUAUUUUAGCAUUUUACCAUCAGUGUUUUUCCUACACAGCAGCUGAACCCUGAGGCGUACAGUGACCAGCGCUGAGAGAAGCACUGCUAGCUACGUUCAUUUACCUGUAAACUGACUUCUUUCUUCUUCCCAGCCAUAAAUGUCCCUCUAAAGCGAAGUAUUUACGUAUUAAUGAAAUUAAAGUACUCAGUCAAAUCUUUUUAUAAUGUUUGGAAGACACUGUGUAAUUAAAACAGCAGGCCAAGUUACUUUCUCUUCGUCGGCACCAGGUGCUUGUUUGGCGUUCCUCGUUACCAAGGAGUUUGGCACGACGCGGAUCAUUACGCCUACAGCGCCAUCUGCUGGAGAACACGUGUUAAUGCUGUCUGAAGCCAUCUAGAGCAGUGGUCACCCACCCUGGUCCUGGAGAUCCUUCUCUGUAGAGUACAGUCUGAUAUAACCGUCCUUGAUUGACUGGAUCAGGUGCAUUAGCAGUAGGUAAAGGGGGAGGAGGAUGUUAUAUUCAGGUUGGUGCUAAACUCUUCAGAAAAGUUUUUUUAGCAGCUUGUUACUUGUUUAAUGACCGGUUUUUGUGGUGUUACGGGGAAAUAAGGCAGACUGAUACUUAAAGAGAUGCGUCCGAGUGCCAUUAUAGGGAGAAAAUGCCACUCAUAGAACAAGUUGGACCUAACUGUGGGUUGGUGACCACUGAUUAUGAGCAAUUGGACUGUAUUCUUCUGGACUAUACGAAUAAAGAAAAUGGUAUUAUUGAUUUUUUUUCCAUAUUAAAUCAGUCCAGAGGAAUUUUACACAGCGCUGUAGUCAGGACGGGGUUACACUAAUAACUUCACACUAAAGCCGCACCACAACGUGUUAAGGGGCCUAUAUCAUGGAAAACUGAAUUAUCCUUACUUUUUUAUCCUCACAUUUGCUUCUUAAAUGAGGCACAGCACACAGUGGUCAAUCAGACCAAAAUUCAUUUAUCAAUUAGACACAUUAACAAGAACAGCCUGAUUAAUUCCAAUGGAUUACUUUGAAGAAUAAUGUUUAACAAUGUAAAAACCAAAGCCAUGGAAAGCUCUGAUGCUUGGACUUUCGGUGGAAUCCACACAAUGUGCUUUCAUGACUUUUGUACUGCAUUCUAGAGCCUUACUAUAAUUUUGAGAUGAGAAAAAGAGAGAGGAGAAGUGGGGGCAGCAGACAAAGGGAAAGGGUGGACAGAGAGAGAGAGAGAGAGAGAGAGAGAGAGAGGAGAGGGAAAUUAAAGAAGACAGAGCAGGAGGACAAGCAUGAAUGAAAACAAGAGAUUAAAGGAAAGAGGAAAUGAAAGUAUUUGAGAGAAAUAAAGAAAAUGCAAAGGAAAUAAAGGAACGCUGAAGAAGAUCAGAAACAGAGAGCAAGCGUUCACAGUCACACACCUUCCAAUCACAUGCCCUCAUCAUGUGCUGUGGGGGAGUUAAGUACAGAGACAGUACUUUAGAAAGAGCAGACUACACAAACACACAACUAGAGCACACAGAAAUGAAUUAAGCAAGAAUAUAAGAGGGAAAGGGAGGGUAUUUUGUAGUGUGGCAUUUACAUGCAUCAUUUCAUUUUUUGCCACUGUUGGGGGUAAUAAAUAUAAAAACACAUUGCAACUGAUGUGGUGAACUAGCUACAUACUUUACAUGUGUGUAACACAUUCAAAAUAUUAGUAACUCACAGCAGAUUAAAAACACAGUACCACUAACUGAAACUCCCAGCAGGCUAGCAACGUCCUUAUAAAAUCAGAGAAAUGUUUAUACAGCUCACUUUCCUCCAUCUCAAAUCAAAUCACGUUUAUUGUCACAUCACAUUUACACAGGUGGCAAGUGAGUGAAAAUCGUAGGUGCAUAGCCCCCUUAUAGAAUUUAAAUACCAAAAAAUCUAUAAAUAUCUAAGAAGAAAACGAUGUGUCAGAAUUGUCCAGAGUGGUGGGGAUUGGAAUCAGACCUCUGAAGAGUUUGAUGCUCCUAAAAGCUCAUGCACAAACAUUUAUUACAUGACAUGCUGCCUGAUGCAUGACACAUUGUUUUAUGAUAGUUUUGUGACAAAGGUUUGGCCUAAAACCUAUUUUAAUCCAUUCAUUUUAAUCUAGUCCUGGCGGAGGGAUACUUGCAGGGUGUGAUAUUCAGUAUAAACAAGUCAGAUGUCAAAAAAGUCAGAUAUCAGAGAGAAAACAGAAAGAACCAGAAACACAGAGUCUGGUACAAAGUGGACAGUUCAAAAGUACAGGCUUGUAGACAUUCUUUCUCUCUUCCUCUUUUCCUCUAGGAAUAUGGUAUAGAGAUAGCCUGCUGGGACAUUCCGCACGCCAGCCGCUGUCAGCGUGAAAAGCAGCCAAAGAAAACAUCAGCCCACAAACUCAACAAGGAAGAGCAGAGGUCUGGCCACGUGAUCUUCUAUCCCAUACAGUUCAACUGUUUCUCAUAUGAGGAAAAGCACUGCCAACAGAGUGCUCUGGAGACCCUCACAUGACCUUAAGUGUCAAGCAUCAGCCAAAGGGGUAUGACACCCCCACCAUAAAGCUGUGAAGCAGUGGUACUGCAUUCUCUGGAGUGACGGAGCUCCAUUCAAUACCUUUAGGAUGAAGUGGAGUGGGCUGGAGGUUAGGGAACUGGCCCUGU